rnacentral:lncRNA from 1 species
AUGUGUGUAAAAGAGAAGAAGGCGUGCAAGGGAAGGCCCCGGGGGUGCGGGAGGCGGGAACGAGAGGUCUGCACGGGGAGACCCCACCCGGCCAGCCCGCAGACCCUGCCCGGCUCACCUGGAGGCUUGGACGCCGGGGACCCCGCGCGGAGCUGGGCCGCCGGCCCCACCCCCACUGCGCUCCCGCAGCCGGCGGGCAAAGUCCACCGCCCGGGCCGGAGCAGGAAGCUCGGAGGCCCCGGCGCGGCAGGGGCCAGAGCUCGGGGACCCCGGCGGCCGGCGCUAUUGUUCCCACGGCCCCGGCCUUCCCGGCCCAGCGCCCCGCCCCCCCCGCACCUGCCGCGCCCGGCCCGCCGCCCCCACCCCGGUCGCCCGAGCCCCGGUACCUGCGCCCCGAACGCGGCCCGCAGCACCCACGCCAGGCUGGCCGCCGCCUUGGCCCGCGAGAAAUCGUACUGGUCCAGCGACUUAAUCUCGGGCACCAGGAAGGUCCUCCGCAGCGGCCCGGGCCCGGGGGCGCCGCCUCCACCAUGGCGGCGCCGGGGCUGCGGGCGCCGGGUCCGCGCUCGGACUGGGCUGGGCUGGGCUGCGCCGCGCUCGCGCCCGGGCCGGGCCCGCUGCUGCUGCCUCUGCCUGCCGCCGUCGCCGCCGCCGCCGCCGCCGCCGCCGCCGCUGCUGCUGCUGAGCCAGGUGCGGCCGCUUGCGCUGGCGACGCUGCGUCGGGCCCGCCCCGGGGAGAGCCCAGGUGCGCCCCGCCCCCGAACCCGGACCCGGACCCUGGCGCGCCCCCUGCGCCCCGCCCAGAUCCCUCACUGCAGGGUCAACGGAGCAGCAGGGGCGGGUGGGGGGGGCCUGGACUGCGGCGAUGGUGAAGGGAGCUUGCGGACUGUGUGUGUGUGUGCGCGCGCGUGUGUGUGUGCGCGCGCGCCUGGCGCACUGGAAAGGAUUAGGGACCCUCUGUGUGUGCCAGCCCCCGUGUCUACCCUUAGGCAUAGGAGCUCCUGCACGUGCUUGCAAUAA